rnacentral:rRNA from 1 species
AUUACCGCGGCUGCUGGCACAGAGUUAGCCGGUGCUUAUUCUGUCGGUAACGUCAAAACAGCAAGGUAUUAACUUACUGCCCUUCCUCCCAACUUAAAGUGCUUUACAAUCCGAAGACCUUCUUCACACACGCGGCAUGGCUGGAUCAGGCUUUCGCCCAUUGUCCAAUAUUCCCCACCGCUGCCUCCCGUAGG